GACGGAGGGUGCGAGCGUUGUUCGGAUUGACUGGGCGUAAAGGGCGUGUAGGCGGUCGGCCAAGUCUGGUGUGAAAGCCCGGGGCUCAGCUCCGGAAGUGCGCCGGAAACUAGCUGGCUGGAGCGCGGUAGAGGAGGGUGGAAUUCCUGGUGUAGCGGUGAAAUGCGUAGAUAUCAGGAGGAACACCGGCGGCGAAGGCGGCUACCUGGACCAGCACUGACACUGAGGCACGAAAGCGUGGGGAGCAAACAGG
rnacentral:rRNA from 1 species